UCCCAGGCAACCUGCCUUUCCUUAGUGAGUUUGCAAAAGAGUUUCAGCUGUGAACACUGUGUGGGAAGAGGUAGUUUACAUACAGGGCUGUGUGUCUACAUGGUUUUAUAAGUUCUUCCAUUCACCAUUGAACCAUUCUCUUGCUCUAACUCCUCAAGGGCAGGGAGCUUGGUUUCGUCUUUGUUGUCUCUCAAGAGCUUACACAUAGUUAAUUAUUGCAUGUCCUAAUCACUGUAGUGAUCAGUUAAACCAUCAAUUUAUCUUACUUCUUCCUCUCAGGUUGGGUGUGUGAACCUUUGUUCACAAAGGUACAUGUGGAAGGACUUAUCUCCUUGGAGCUUCAAGCAAAACUUGCAACAUUUCCACAAUGUGUCUUCUGUCUCCCCAGCACCUGAUGAAGAGACUUAAGGGUGAAAGGGUUUACUGUGGAUGAUGCUGUUCACACUCAUGACCAGAGCCUGUCGUGACUGUCCUCUGAGAUGCUCCAC